rnacentral:rRNA from 1 species
UGGGGAAUAUUGCACAAUGGGCGCAAGCCUGAUGCAGCCAUGCCGCGUGUAUGAAGAAGGCCUUCGGGUUGUAAAGUACUUUCAGCGGGGAGGAAGGGAGUAAAGUUAAUACCUUUGCUCAUUGACGUUACCCGCAGAAGAAGCACCGGCUAACUCCGUGCCAGCAGCCGCGGUAAUACGGAGGGUGCAAGCGUUAAUCGGAAUUACUGGGCGUAAAGCGCACGCAGGCGGUUUGUUAAGUCAGAUGUGAAAUCCCCGGGCUCAACCUGGGAAAUGCAUCUGAUACUGGCAAGCUUGAGUCUCGUAGAGGGGGGUAGAAUUCCAGGUGUAGCGGUGAAAUGCGUAGAGAUCUGGAGGAAUACCGGUGGCGAAGGCGGCCCCCUGGACGAAGACUGACGCUCAGGUGCGAAAGCGUGGGGAGCAAACA